UACAAGGAAUAUGCUAGUACACGACGCUAUAUUUUCAUCGCUACAUCGUCACGGUUUUUAGUUUACGAUGAUCUCACGACGAAAAACCAAACGUCGAAAAUGGAGCGUCACAAAUGAACAGCAGCGACGUUUUGAUCAAAAUCGUCGUAACCUUUACGACGAUUCCUAGAUCGUUGUAACAUUUACGACGAUCCUAAACCGUCGUUGGCAAUCCAAGCCAGUCCUACAUGGC
rnacentral:lncRNA from 1 species